rfam:Oryzias latipes DNA, chromosome7, strain: Hd-rR.
CUCAGAUAUGGAGACAUGGUUCCUAAGACAAUUGCAGGGAAGAUCUUUGGGUCAAUUUGCUCUCUGAGUGGAGUGCUGGUAAUUGCCCUCCCAGUCCCUGUCAUCGUCUCCAAC